UGUGCGGUUAAAAAGCUCGUAGUCGGAGGUGUGUCUCGGACGGUUGGUUCGCUGCUUGUCGGUGCUUAACUGGCCGGUCCGGACGUCCUGCCGGUGGGGAUGUCAAAAGUCCCCGUUAUCCUUCUUAGGUGCUCUUCACCGAGUGCCUUGGUGGGCCGGCACGUUUACUUUGAACAAAUUAGAGUGCUCAAAGCAGGCCGUUGGUCGCCUGAAUACUGUGUGCAUGGAAUAAUGGAAUAGGACCUCGGUUCCAUUUUGUUGGUUUUCAGAACUCGAGGUAAUGAUUAAUAGGGACGGACGGGGGCAUUCGUAUUGCGACGUUAGAGGUGAAAUUCUUGGAUCGUCGCAAGACGAACCGAUGCGAAAGCAUUUGCCAAGAACGUUUUCGUUGAUCAAGAACGAAAGUUAGAGGUUCGAAGGCGAUCAGAUACCGCCCUAGUUCUAACCAUAAACGAUGCCAGCUAGCCAUCCGCCGAAGUUCCUUCUAUGACUCGGCGGGCAGCUUCCGGGAAACCAAAGCUCUUGGGUUCCGGGGGAAGUAUGGUUGCAAAGCU
rnacentral:rRNA from 1 species